rnacentral:tRNA from 1 species
GUCAGCAUGGUGUAGUGGUUUGAGUGUUGGACUACAACUCUGGAGACCAGGGUUUGAAUCCCUGAUCAGCCA